rnacentral:rRNA from 1 species
GAUGAACGCUGGCGGCGUGCCUAAUACAUGCAAGUCGAGCGAACAGACGAGGAGCUUGCUCCUCUGACGUUAGCGGCGGACGGGUGAGUAACACGUGGAUAACCUACCUAUAAGACUGGGAUAACUUCGGGAAACCGGAGCUAAUACCGGAUAAUAUAUUGAACCGCAUGGUUCAAUAGUGAAAGACGGUUUUGCUGUCACUUAUAGAUGGAUCCGCGCCGCAUUAGCUAGUUGGUAAGGUAACGGCUUACCAAGGCAACGAUGCGUAGCCGACCUGAGAGGGUGAUCGGCCACACGGGAACUGAGACACGGUCCAGACUCCUACGGGAGGCAGCAGUAGGGAAUCUUCCGCAAUGGGCGAAAGCCUGACGGAGCAACGCCGCGUGAAUGAUGAAGGUCUUCGGAUCGUAAAACUCUGUUAUUAGGGAAGAACAAAUGUGUAAGUAACUAUGCACGUCUUGACGGUACCUAAUCAGAAAGCCACGGCUAACUACGUG